rnacentral:rRNA from 1 species
GGCAUCACUGAGUUUUGAAAGAAUUUCGGUGGAGGAUGACUUCGCGGCCUAUCAGCUAGUUGGUGAGGUAAUGGCUCACCAAGGCAACGACGGGUAGCCGGCCUGAGAGGGCGACCGGCCACACUGGGACUGAGACACGGCCCAGACUCCUACGGGAGGCAGCAGUGGGGAAUAUUGGGCAAUGGAGGAAACUCUGACCCAGCGACGCCGCGUGCGGGAUGAAGGCCUUCGGGUUGUAAACCGCUUUCAGUAGGGAAGAAGCGAAAGUGACGGUACCUACAAAAGAAGCACCGGCUAACUAUGUGCCAGCAGCCGCGGUAAUACAUAGGGUGCAAGCGUUGUCCGGAAUUAUUGGGCGUAAAGAGCUCGUAGGUCGUUUGUUACGUCGGAUGUGAAAACCUGAGGCUCAACCUCAGGCCUGCAUUCGAUACGGGCAAACUAGAGUUUGGUAGGGGAGACUGGAAUUCCUGGUGUAGCGGUGGAAUGCGCAGAUAUCAGGAGGAACACCAAUGGCGAAGGCAGGUCUCUGGGCCAAUACUGACACUGAGGAGCGAAAGUCUGGGGAGCGAACAGGAUUAGAUACCCUGGUAGUCCAGACCGUAAACGGUGGGCACUAGUUGUGGGAACCUUCCACGGUUUCUGCGACGCAGCUAACGCAUUAAGUGCCCCGCCUGGGGAGUACGAUCGCAAGAUUAAAACUCAAAGGAAUUGACGGGGGCCCCGCACAAGCAGCGGAGCAUGCGGCUUAAUUCGACGCAACGCGAAGAACCUUACCAAGGCUUGACAUAUAGGGAAAAGUGGCAGAGAUGUCAUGUCCGCAAGGGCUCUAUACAGGUGGUGCAUGGUUGUCGUCACCUC